UACGUAGGGUGCAAGCGUUAAUCGGAAUUACUGGGCGUAAAGCGUGCGCAGGCGGUUUUGUAAGUCUGUCGUGAAAGCCCCUGGCUCAACCUGGGAAUUGCGAUGGAGACUGCAAGGCUUGAAUCUGGCAGAGGGGGGUAGAAUUCCACGUGUAGCAGUGAAAUGCGUAGAGAUGUGGAGGAACACCGAUGGCGAAGGCAGCCCCCUGGGUCAAGAUUGACGCUCAUGCACGAAAGCGUGGGGAGCAAACAGG
rnacentral:rRNA from 1 species